rnacentral:lncRNA from 10 species
CAUGGAUGGAGCUGGGGGCCAUUACCCUAAGAAGCAGAAAAUCAAAUAUCUUAUGUUCUCACUUAUGAAUGGGAGCUAAACAAUGGGCACACGUGGACAUAAAGAUGGAAAUAAUAGACAUGGGAGACUCCAAAAGCGGAGAGGAUGAGAGGAGGGGGAGGGGCAAAAAUACCUAUUGGGUACCAUGUUCAAUAUUUGGGUGUUGGGUACAUUGGAAGCCCAGUUCCCACCAUGACACAACAGACCCAUGUAACAAACAUGCAUGUGUACCCCGGAAUUUAAAAUAAUUUUUAAAUGUUUAACCCUAAUAUAAUUGUGAGGAAAUAAUUUAACAAAUCCAGAUGGUGGCACAUUCUACUAGACAGCUGAUCUGGACUCUUCAAAAAUAUCAAUAACAUGAAAGACCACAAAAAGCAGGGGCUCAUUCUAAUCGAUUUAAACAAAACUUAAAUAACAUGACAACUGAAAAAAGCAUAUGCAUGCCCCUAGACUCAGCCCAUGAGCAGAAGGUUGCAGCCAGGGACCCCAGACCCUGCCACCUUUGUCCGGAAGAGCUGGCCUCGGAGGGACAGAGACUCUGAGCCUGCGUCCCAGGAAGAAAGUCACAGGUAGGAGCUUCGGGCCCCCUCGCUCUCCCCAGCAGCACCACCCACUGGCAAAGGACCCAGGUCUCUUUCUCCAAGGGACAGGGGGGUCGGGAAAAAGAAAAGACAAGACUCUCCUGUGGGAAAGAAACACAUGUGAGGGUGCUGGAGGGUUUCCUUCCUUCUUCUGGAGUUUUAACAAAAAUAGACUCUGGGAUGAGGUUGUAGGACAAGGAAGUGCUCCCUUGCUUGACUGGUGUUCUUUCUGCCCUCACUGGAAUCUGCUUGGCAGCCGAGGGCGGUGACGUUCCUGUAGCUUCCGUGGGGAAUUCAGGGCUAGAAUUCUGUCGUCUAAAACCUGCCUCAUGGAAGCCCGUGGAAAAAACUGCCUGCGGAAGAGACGAGGUUGUGAGCGCUUAUAGCACAGAUGGAGCAGAGUGACCACAGCUGAGGGAAAACAAUGAACUUUAUGUUCUUCCAGAACAAAUUACACACUCCCCCCAGCCCAUAAAGGCUUUUUAUGUAACUGCAGUCAGGCAAUACCUGGGCAGGGAGCGACUGCGGGGGAUCCCACAUCCCUGCGCGGCUCUUGCCUCGGGCAGCCCCACCACGCCCCUCCCAGCACCCAGGGUGUCUCGGCCCUGCCCAGCCGGGACCCACCUCGCAGGCCCUUUUUCCCACCGGGAUUCAGGCGUUUCAUGCUGACUUGGGCCCUCGGGGGCCACGGGCCAAGGGAGGAGGGAGGGGCAGGCACCUCGCCAUGGAAGCUGGUCUCUGGAGGAGCCCCCAGCCUGGCAGGGCGCUGGGUGAGACAGGUGGCUGGCCACCAGCCGUGGUGGCGAGGAACAGCGUGGGCUGCAGCGCCCUCACCAUAACCGAUGGCGACAACUGAGGCAGGCCCAGGACUUAGAAAUUAGCAUUCAAAAUGUACAGCCUAAACACCCUGCACCAAAAGCCCAGCCUGCUCUCUAGGCGUUCCAUCAGCCGUCCAUGCUGAAAUGUCCUUCAACCUCACCGCCCCCUGCAAGCCCUCCCGCUCUCCAGCCGUGCGCAGGCAGGCCACGGUCCCCCCCACCUGUGUCUCGUGUGACAACAAAGCAGAGGAGGAAAGGGAGGGGCUGAGCUUGUCACGGGGGGGUGGGGGCCUGCGACACAAUAGCGCGCAGUCCUAGCUGCUUUAUUGAGGAUACUGUGUUGAAUAAACCAAUGACUAAGAGAG